rnacentral:rRNA from 1 species
GACGAACGCUGGCGGCGUGCCUAAUACAUGCAAGUAGAACGCUGAAGAGAGGAGCUUGCUCUUCUUGGAUGAGUUGCGAACGGGUGAGUAACGCGUAGGUAACCUGCCUUGUAGCGGGGGAUAACUAUUGGAAACGAUAGCUAAUACCGCAUAACAAUGGAUGACACAUGUCAUUUAUUUGAAAGGGGCAAUUGUUCCACUACAAGAUGGACCUGCGUUGUAUUAGCUAGUAGGUGAGGUAAUGGCUCACCUAGGCGACGAUACAUAGCCGACCUGAGAGGGUGAUCGGCCACACUGGGACGGAGACACGGCCCAGACUCCUACGGGAGGCAGCAGGAGGGGAUCUUCGGCAAUGGGGGCAACCCUGACCGAGCAACGCCGCGUGAGUGAAGGAGGUUGUCGGAUCGUAAAGCUCUGUUGUAAGUCAAGAACGGGUGUGAGAGUGGAAAGUUCACACUGUGACGGUAGCUUACCAGAAAGGGACGGCUAACUACGUG